rnacentral:rRNA from 1 species
AUUGAACGCUAGCGGGAUGCUUUACACAUGCAAGUCGAACGAGGGGCGGACGGGUGAGUAAUAUAUCGGAACGUGCCCAGUAGCGGGGGAUAACUUCUCGAAAGAGUGGCUAAUACCGCCUCCUAUUGGGGCGGCCGAUAUAGGAUUAGCUAGUUGGGGGGGUAAAGGCUCACCAAGGCAACGAUCCCUAGCUGGUUUGAGAGGACGACCAGCCACAGUGGGACUGAGACAAGGCCCAGACUCCUACGGGAGGCAGGAGUGGGGAGUUGUGGACAAUGGGGGGAACCCUGAUCCAGCCAUCCCGCGUGUAUUAGAAGGCCUUCGGGUUGUAAAGGACUUUUGGCAGAGAAGCGGUAUCUGCAGAAUAAGCACCGGCUAACUACGUGCCAGCCGCCGCGGUAAUUC